rnacentral:rRNA from 1 species
UACGAAGGGGGCUAGCGUUGCUCGGAAUCACUGGGCGUAAAGGGUGCGUAGGCGGGUCUUUAAGUCAGGGGUGAAAUCCUGGAGCUCAACUCCAGAACUGCCUUUGAUACUGAAGAUCUUGAGUUCGGGAGAGGUGAGUGGAACUGCGAGUGUAGAGGUGAAAUUCGUAGAUAUUCGCAAGAACACCAGUGGCGAAGGCGGCUCACUGGCCCGAUACUGACGCUGAGGCACGAAAGCGUGGGGAGCAAAGCAG